GAUGAAGAACGCAGCGAAAUGCGAUACUUGGUGUGAAUUGCAGAAUCCCGCGAAUCAUCGAGUUUUUGAACGCAAGUUGCGCCCGAAGCCAUUCGGCCGAGGGCACGUCUGCCUGGGUGUCACGCAUCGUUGCCCCCCCCCCAAACUUCGGUUCGGGUGGGGCGGAAGUUGGCCUCCCGUGCGUGCAUGCGCUCGCGGUUAGCCCAAAAGCGAGUCCUCGGCGACGAGCGCCACGACAAUCGGUGGUUUUUUUACCCUCGUUCCUCGUCGUGCGUGCCCCGUCGCCCGAACGCGCUCUUGCGACCCUCAUGCGUCACCUCGGUGGCGCUCCCAACGCGACCCCAGGUCAGGUGGGACUACCCGCUGAGUUUAAGCAUAUCAAUAAGCGGAGGA
rnacentral:misc_RNA from 1 species